rnacentral:misc_RNA from 1 species
GAUGAAGAAAGCAGCGAAAUGCGAUAAGUAAUGUGAAUUGCAGAAUUCAGUGAAUCAUCGAAUCUUUGAACGCACCUUGCGCCCUUUGGCCAUUCCGAAGGGCAUGCCUGUUUGAGUAUCAUGAACACCUCAACUCUUUAUGGUUUUCCAUGAUGAGCUUGGACUCUGGGGGUUUUGCUGGCUCACAGUCGGCUCCUCUAAAAUGAAUCAGCUUACCAGUGUUUGGUGGGUAUCAUGGGUGUGAUAACUAUCUACGCUUGUGGUUUUUCCACCAGGUAACCUUCAGCAGUGGAGGUUCGCUGGAGCUCAUAGAUGUCUCUCCUCAGUGAGGACAGCCCUUUGAAUGUUUGAUCUCAAAUCAGGUAGGACUACCCGCUGAACUUAAGCAUAUCAAUAAGCGGAGGA